GCCUGGGUGGCUCAGCAGUUGAGCGUCUGUCUUUGGCUCAGGGCAUGAUCCCAGAGUUCCAGGAUCGAGUCCUGUCUCAGGCU
rnacentral:tRNA from 1 species